UGCAGCUUACCCUUUCAACAGAGCUAAACUGGGAGCUUCUAAUGGGUGCCUCAACCUGUGGUCCAACUCAAAAUAUUUGUGGUUUUGAUGUGGAGAACUAUCCAAACACCAAAGAAACCCUAUAGUAAUUUGUGAUACUGAAGAAGAACCACUGACCACAAGGGAAGAAUAACCUCCUGUCACAAGGAUACAAACAUUCAUGCCACCACCACCCUUCAGGCAACUGCAAGAACAGUAUGCUCCCAGUCAUGAGCAUGGUUGGAUGUGGUGGUGAUGCCACCACCAUUGCCAUAUGACCCCUGGCAAGAUUCCUGGCCAGAGGAAUAUCCUCCCUUUGGCUUUGAGGGGGAGCCAAGACAUCCACAAAGGGUCCAUGUAUUUACCCCCCCCCCCCACAACA